CCUACGGGAGGCAGCAGUGGGGAAUAUUGGACACUUGGGGGAACCCUGCUCCAGCGACGCCGCGUGAGUGAAGAAGUAUUUCGGUAUGUAAAGCUCUAUCAGCAGGGAAGAAAAUGACGGUACCUGCCUAAUAAGCCCCGUCUAACUCCGUGCCAGCAGCCUCGUUCAUACGUAGGGGGCAAGCGUUCUCCGGAUUUACUGGGUGUACAGGGAGCGUAGACGGUGCAGCAAGUCUGAUGUGAAAGGUCGGUGCCCAACCCCGGGACUGCAUUGGAAACUGUUGAACUGGAGUACAGGAGAGGUAAGCGGAAUUCCUAGUGUAGCGGGGAAAUGCGUAGAUAUUAGGAGGAAAACCAGGGGCGAAGGCGGCUUACUGGACUGUAACUGACGUUGAGGCUCGAAAGCGUGGGGAGCAAACAGGAUUAGAUACCCGUGUAGUC
rnacentral:rRNA from 1 species